GAUGAACGCUGGCGGCGUGCCUAAUACAUGCAAGUCGAGCGAAGCGGGGACGGGGGAGUAACACGUGGUUAACCUUUUAUAAGAACCGGAUAACUUCGGGAAACCGGAGUUAAAUCGGAUACUGAUAGAUGGCUCCUGGCUGCAUUAGCUAGUUGGUAAGGUAACGGCUUACAAAGGCAACGAUGCAUAGCCGACCUGAGAGGGUGAUCGGCCACACUGGAACUGAGACACGGUCCAGACUCCUACGGGAGGCAGCAGUAGGGAAUCUUCCGCAAUGGGCGAAAGCCUGACGGAGCAACGCCGCGUAAGUGAAGAAGGUCUUCGGAUCGUAAAACUCUGUUAUUAGGGAAGCGGUACCUAAUCAGAAAGCCACGGCUAACUACGUGCCAGCAGCCGCGGUAAUAC
rnacentral:rRNA from 1 species